GGACGGGAGCAUUGGCAGAUUGCGGAACUCCUUCAUGUUCUGUUGGAUGGUGCUGCAUGGCCGUUCUCCAUUGGUGAAGUGAUUUGCCCGCUUAAUUGCGGUAAUGAACAAGGCCUCAGUUCCUAAAUACGCCGGUUGGCUUCUUGGGGUGACUGCCGACUCAAGUUGGAAACUUGAGCAAGGAUAGGUCUGUGAUACCUU
rnacentral:ncRNA from 1 species